CUAUGCAGGGAUCGCCCCCCGUCAGCGCGUUGCGCCCACGGGGGAGAUUGGC
rfam:Actibacterium mucosum KCTC 23349 contig6, whole genome shotgun sequence.